AGUCUUUGUUUACUCUCAAGCUUUGAUGAAAACAGCAGUUUUGUGUUUGUCAUUCCUGGCUUUGAUAUACAUUUCUGAUGGUUGACUUGUUCAAGGAGAUACCAGAAAUUGUUUUUUGCGAAGUAGAGGAAGUGACAAAUGGUCGCAUUCUUUAUUCAUUUCCGAACCCGAUAGAUUCCUGCCAUGGCGUCCCUACAUGUGGUUGUAGAAGACGCGCCAUGAUCGACUGUGGUGGUAAAUGUGACGAAAAAGUAAAAGUUUAUUGUGAACAACGCCUUCAUCAAACGAAAGCGAUGUCUAAAUAUAGGGCCAGCACAUGUAACAAUGGAGAUGGGCAUAAUCACUACGAUUGUUAGGCUGUUCCUGAUGGUAUGCUUGGUUGUAUUUAACUGAUGUCUCAUAACACGAGGCCUUGUUAUUUCGAUUUAAGUUGAACAAAUAAAAUGAAUAAAAUAAAACCAAGUACGAACAAUCCAAACCAUAAGACAGAAUUCGAAGUCCUAAAAAACGUUAUAGGCAAAAUAAUGUAUUCAUGCUAAAUAAUGUAAUCAGCAAAUGGACUGCUCCUCGUGUACAAAAUACACGACAAACAGUGGUAACAGGUGUCCGGAAGAGUAAGCUUAACCUGCCUGGCGCCACACCCGCCAUAAAUAAAAUGAAUAAUACAUUAAA